AUUGAACGCUAGCGGCAGGCCUUACACAUGCAAGUCGAGCGGAGCGGCGGACGGGUGAGUAAUGCCUAGGAAUCUGCCUGGUAGUGGGGGAUAACGUCCGGAAACGGGCGCUAAUACCGCAUACUAUCAGAUGAGCCUAGGCCGGAUUAGCUAGUUGGGGGGGUAAAGGCCUACCAAGGCGACGAACCGUAACUGGUCUGAGUGGAUGAGCAGUCACACUGGAACGGGGACACGGGCCAGACUCCUACGGGAGGCAGCAGUGGGGAAUAGUGGACAAUGGGCGAAAGCCUGAUGCAGCCAUGCCGCGUGUGUGAAGAAGGUCGUCGGAUUGUAAAGCACUUUAAGUUGGGAGGCGUUACCAACAGAAUAAGCACCGGCUAACUUCGUGCCAGCAGCCGCGGUAAUUC
rnacentral:rRNA from 1 species